rnacentral:rRNA from 1 species
GAUGAACGCUGGCGGCGUGCCUAAUACAUGCAAGUCGAGCGAACAGAUAAGGAGCUUGCUCCUUUGACGUUAGCGGCGGACGGGUGAGUAACACGUGGGUAACCUACCUAUAAGACUGGGAUAACUUCGGGAAACCGGAGCUAAUACCGGAUAACAUUUGUAACCGCAUGGUUCUAAAGUGAAAGAUGGUUUUGCUAUCACUUAUAGAUGGACCCGCGCCGUAUUAGCUAGUUGGUAAGGUAACGGCUUACCAAGGCGACGAUACGUAGCCGACCUGAGAGGGGGACGGGCAACACUGGAACUGAGAAACGGUCCAGACUCCUACGGGAGGCAGCAGUAGGGAAUCUUCCGAAAUGGGCGAAAGCCUGACGGAGAAACGCCGCGUGAGGGAGGAAGGGUUUCGGCUCGUAAAACUCUGUUAUUAGGGAAGAACAAAGGUGUAAGUAACUGUGCACGUAGUGACGGUACCUAAUCAGAAAGCCACGGCUAACUACGUG